GGCGGCAUGCUUUACACAUGCAAGUCGAACGGUAACAGGGAGCUUGCUCCGCUGACGAGUGGCGAACGGGUGAGUAAUAUAUCGGAACGUACCCAAGAGUGGGGGAUAACGUAGCGAAAGUUACGCUAAUACCGCAUACGAUCUAUGGAUGAAAGCAGGGGACCUUCGGGCCUUGUGCUCCUGGAGCGGCCGAUAUCUGAUUAGCUAGUUGGUGAGAUAAAGGCUCACCAAGGCGACGAUCAGUAGCUGGUCUGAGAGGACGACCAGCCACACUGGAACUGAGACACGGUCCAGACUCCUACGGGAGGCAGCAGUGGGGAAUUUUGGACAAUGGGCGCAAGCCUGAUCCAGCAAUGCCGCGUGAGUGAAGAAGGCCUUCGGGUUGUAAAGCUCUUUUGUCAGGGAAGAAACGGUAGAGGCUAAUAUCCUUUGCUAAUGACGGUACCAGAAGAAUAAGCACCGGCUAACUACGUGCCAGCAGCCGCGGUAAUACGUAGGGUGCAAGCGUUAAUCGGAAUUACUGGGCGUAAAGCGUGCGCAGGCGGUUUUGUAAGUCUGUCGUGAAAUCCCCGGGCUCAACCUGGGAAUUGCGAUGGAGACUGCAAGGCUAGAAUCUGGCAGAGGGGGGUAGAAUUCCACGUGUAGCAGUGAAAUGCGUAGAGAUGUGGAGGAACACCGAUGGCGAAGGCAGCCCCCUGGGUCAAGAUUGACGCUCAUGCACGAAAGCGUGGGGAGCAAACAGGAUUAGAUACCCUGGUAGUCCACGCCCUAAACGAUGUCUACUAGUUGUCGGGUUUUAAUUAACUUGGUAACGCAGCUAACG
rnacentral:rRNA from 1 species